ACAACACACAGAAGUCGUCAGGGAAACAGAAAAAAUAUAAUAAAUAAAGGAACAAAUCAUCCUAGGAAUAAAAGAAACCUAGUUGUCCCCCUGAUUGCCAACAUUUGAAAUAAAAACAAACAAACAAACAAAAAAUUAAAAAGAAAACCUGACUGCAGCAGUGUCAGCUUAGAGCAGACUGAGGGAGAGGAGGAGAGAGGAGAGAAAAGGAAGAGGUGGGGAUGCUAACUCUCAACGCUCAAACCACCGGUCUGACCAGUAGCAGAUCUGGAGGGGGCCGUUUGGUAAAUAACAGCCUAAACCACCUUUAAGACUGGAAAGACACCGUAAGACUACGGUGUCAUGCAAAUGUAUUCACACCCUUUCAGCUUUCAGGGAUUUUAUGUGGCAAAUAAACCAACAAAAAGUAGCGCACUUUUGUUGAGUGAAAGGAAAACGACACAGGGUCUUAAACAUGUUUUCCACAAACAUCUUAAAACUCUUUCACCCAUAUCUUUAACUCCAGUCCAGGGUUAGAUUUCAGGGUGUCUGUGCAUCCUUCAAAAGUCCUACAUUCAUGAAGCUAAAAUCAAUACCUUAAAAAGUCUUAAAGUCAUUAAAGAGAAGGUAAGUUGGCCUUAAAUUUGUUAACCACCGGUCUUAAAUUUUGUCGUGGUUAUGACACGACAAAAUUAUGACACGGGAUAUAAAAGUCCCGUUUUUCUUACAGGACUUUUGUAUCAGGCAAAUGUCUGAGUUGCAGACAUCGCUCACUAUAUUCUGUGUCUCAGGUGGUAAAGACUAUGAGUAACAAGCUGCUAUUACUGGUAGCUAGCUAGCUUUCUUGCAUUUUCCAUGGGAAAGUGUGAACUUAUCAGCAGUCGGCUAGACGACGUUCACAAAAAAAACAUACAAAACAGCUAGCUAGUUUUUUGUUGAUAAAUGUAAAUUUAUUGGCAGUUGGCUGGAUGACAUCUGCAAAUUUCCUGAAAAAAAGGCAUUUCUUUUGUACAUUUCAGUUGUGAUAUAGGUCUUAAAUUGUAUUCAUAACGGUCUUUAAAAGUCUUAAAUUAGAGAUGGUGAACCCUGCAGAAACUCUGGAUUAGGUAUAAGACUGUAGCGUGGCACAGGGAUUCACCUUAAAGGAAAACAAUGACUCUACACAAACAGCCUGAGCUGCCAUGGAAUGGCAAAAGUCUAAAAACAAGCUACAAACACUCACUCCAUACUUUGCCAGACUAUUUCCAAAUGGUUUUUAGAGAUUCUGAUAACACUUGAACUUGCUUGUUCCAUUUCUAAAGCAGGUAUGCCUGGAGUACAAUAUGUGAUCAUUGCUCUUUAUGUUGUUUUUGAAGAUAAAACAAACAAAAAAAGUGUGUUAAAUUAAUUGUUUCAACACACUUGGCCUAAUGCUACUUCAUAAAUAAAAUAAAAUCUUGCUUUGAAAUAUUAGUCACGCAUGUAAUUAUUUUCCAGCAACUACUCUUUUUUUUUUUUGCAUCCAUCAUGGGUAAAUUUAUAAUGAAUAAAAAGCAUUAAAACACUAUUUAGUAAAGCAUGUUAUUAUUGAUUGCAAGUUGAAUCAUUGUAAUUUUACAAACAUUCAAUAAGCAGCCCUAAUAUUAACCAUCUUAGAUCAUAUUCUAUAAAAAGGGAAAAAAAAUAAUUAUUUAAUGUACGCUUUUUGUUCCACUUCACAAUUGUGCACUACUUGUUGCUGGUGUAUCGACUAAAUCCCCCCCCACAAUAUGCAUUUAAGUGGUUCACAAGGUGUGAAUAUCUUUUGCAAGGUGUUGUAAAUUUGCAGCUGAUUAAAACAAAUAUUGUCCACCACAAAACAAGAACAGCAAAAUGAGUUUGUUGCGAUCCGUUUUAAGCGAGAGCACUUUUAGUUAGAUGAGGAAACGAUUCUCAUUCUAGCGGUGAAGUUACGGCAUAAAGGGGAAAGUGUGUGUUGGGACACUGGGCUAAAUUUACAGUCUUUUACCAGUCACCAUGAAGGCAGUCAAUAGUUAAAAAAAAAAAAACAAGCUAAAAAUAAAAUAUGGAAGAGGAGGAAAUAAAUUUAAAAAGCUACAUGUUAAUGUCAGAUAAAAUAAAAAUAAAACAGACGAACAUGACUGGCAAGGAGAUCACAGAGGUUUAUGUGAAAGACAAAUGAGUGAAAACAGAAAAAAAAAGAGAGAGGGUAAAAAGGACAAAGGUUGCACUCUUUUCAAACUUUUCUACAAUUUUACACAUGUACAAAGAACACAAAAAUAAGUUCACACUUCAGUCAUUUAUCAUUCCAGGAGGGAGAAAAAAAAAAAAGUCAUGCAGGAGCAAAAAUUUUGACUGGUCAGAUUCAGACGGAGCUCAUCUGCCAAAAUGGGACAAUAGCAAGAGGUGCAGCGUACCAAAACACUCGGUCAAAUUUAAUUGAAUGCGUCCCGUCCAGGAGUUUGGAAUGCUUUGGGCUGGACCGCGUCCGCAGGGUCAGGCAUGCACAAUUGCCUCCCAACCACUUUCACCACAAACAUCCAUGCAGUGAGGACUGACUGUUCGUAUUCACUGAUGCCCCACAGCACAACCAUCAGCUUGCAUGCAGAGCUGCAACACUACUUCUGCACACACACACACGCAGAACUCAGCCUUUCCACCCUUUACUGCUGUGAUAUCCGAUUAAAACUCUGCGCUGCGGAGAAACCGUCACUUUCCUCAACACUCCGACAACAACAGAUCGCCCACAAACGACUCGGCUUGGAACAGGAGCCGACCUUCGGGGUCAACAGGGAUGUUCUCUCCUCUGAUUUCAUGCAGAACCCCAAGGGUCAAACAAAGACACUCUGAACAUGGGUGAGACUGAUGCAGGAUGAACCGGCUCCAGUGGCAUCCGCUCUGCUUGCUGAUUGGCUGAAGGUGGACAGGGUGGGGGUAGGAUAAAGGGAGGGAGGGGGAAGGGAAUCAUGUUGCACCGUAGGAUGCAGGUGGCUGCCUCUCUUUCUCGACUGUACUGCAGCAGAAGUUUAAAAAAAUUAAAAUAGAAAAAGCAUCCAGCCUCAUCCAUCAUGCAGGAAGUGAGUUGUACACGCCCAAAAAGGAGAGUGGGGUGUGGGGGUGAGGGAAAUCCCCGUUGUAAGCCCAUGCAGAAAUCCCAGCUUAAAGUGGUGGAUCAAGUAAGACGGGCUGGAAAAAAUUCCCUGAUUAGAAAACCAAAAUCUGCAUUCAAACACUCAGCACAUGCUUCAGUAAAACAGAAAAUGUGUAACUGUAUCCAAACAAACCUAAAAUCAAAAAACAACACAGAGAUUAUAAACAUUGGAAAAGAAUCCAGCGUUCCGUAACAGUGAGCAUGCGAACGCCAGCAUGCUGCUGCUGCAAUUACCCAUUAGUACCAGAAAGAAAGAGAGAGAGAGACAACAAGAGAGAGAGAGAGAGAGAGAGAGAGAGAGAGGUGAACCCAAUGCCAAGGAGGAGAAACAAAAGAGCAUCCGACUGCAAUCUGCCAUGCAUCAUACUGUCACUUUCACCGGGCUCCUCUCUCAUGCCCUCCAGAGGCAGCUACACAAACAUCAUUCCAGCUGCUGCGUGGAAAAUCGGAACAUCGGCGUGGCUAACUAGGGGAGCGUCGUCGGGGAAACGAAGCCAAGGAGGCCGACAGGUUGACGUGAAAACAAGGCAUGCUUUUUGCUCACGUUCUUGCACCCCCUCCAAAAUUAAAAAAAAAUUAAUCCCAGCACAUUUAAAGAAAAAACAACAAAAACC